UCGAACGUGAAAACGGGGCAACCCGCAAGUAGAGUGGCGGACGGGUGAGUAAUACAUCGGAACGUGUCCAGUAAUGGGGGAUAACCUAGCGAAAGUUAGGCUAAUACCGCAUACGAUCGCCGAGGGGCAUCCCUUGGCGAUGAAAGGAGCAAUCCGCGCGUUGAGGAGACUGCGUCCCAUUAGCUAGUUGGUGGGGUAAUGGCCUACCAAGGCUCCGAUGGGUAGCUGGCUUGCGAGAGCGACCAGCCACACUGGAACUGAGACACGGUCCAGACUCCUACGGGAGGCAGCAGUGAGGAAUUUUCCGCAAUGGGGGCAACCCUGACGGAGCGACGCCGCGUGUGGGAAGAAGGCCUUCGGGUCGUAAACCACUGUCGAAGGGGACGAUUUGNACGGUUGUAAAAGAGAGGGCCAGGCCCAUCAUGAGUUUGCCGCUGUCGCGUGACUACA
rnacentral:rRNA from 1 species